rnacentral:rRNA from 1 species
CCUACGGGAGGCAGCAGUAGGGAAUAUUGCGCAAUGGGCGGAAGCCUGACGCAGCGACGCCGCGUGAGCGAAGAAGGCCUUCGGGUCGUAAAGCUCUGUCCUUGGGGAAGAAGGCGAAAGCUUGACGGUACCCAAGAAGAAAGCCCCGGCUAACUACGUGCCAGCAGCCGCGGUAAU